UUCCCGUAACUUCUCCGUCCGAGCUCCGAUCGCCGCACCAUUUGCGGCCACGUGUUCACCGCGUCGAGAUCUACGUUUCUACCAGAACAAUUUCACAGGAUCCAAUUAGCUUGAGGAAAACGUUCACUCUUGCUUAUGUGAAGCUUAGGUAAGGUUACGAAUAAAUAAUUGGAGCUUGAAAUUGUGAAUACUGGAACUUGGAGGAAGCUGACUAGUUGAAUUUUGAGGGGCUGCCUUGAUUUUGAAGAAAUAGCUUUGGUCGUUACGUAGAAAUCGGCCAAGAUGCAGGUCGGGGGCCAUCUCGUUAGGCGUCUGGACUCUUGAAGUGGAG